ensembl:lncRNA DELEC1 deleted in esophageal cancer 1
AGCUCUGUCAGAAAGCUAGAGGUCUGCUUGGCAGAGAGAGUCAUCAUGGAUUGUGGCAGAUUCUCCUUCUGUCAAGGCUUAUCUGAAGGCUAAAUAAAUCAUGCUGGAAUCUUCUGGGAUGUUGGAAGAGAGGAAAAACCCUGAACACUCUGCGGCUUCUCUGAGAAACCCUAUCGAAGGGGAUGUGGAAUCCCAGAGCUACUCUUGCUAUCAACUCGCCGCAUGACCUUGGGAAAAUCAUUUCACCUGGUUCAGCAAUGAUUUACUGAGCUAUUGAAGGCCUUACUUUCCAGAUCCAGCUGGAAGAGGAGGCUUGGAGAUGGUAGAAACAUAAGAUGGAAGGGGUCUAGAUGGCUGGAUGACUGCUUGAGGAGAGUUAUUCAAGACUGCUACUUAGCUGAUGUCAGACUCUGAAUCCUUGUGCAUACAACUGACUUGUGUGGGUGAGGCUUGCAGAAAAAAUCAGCUAGAACAGCCUUGGGGGUAGUGGCAAGGUGGCCAGAGCAAUUGACUGGGAGCUGGGAACAGGAAUGAAGAGGAAGAGCUGAUAAGAAACAUGCCCAGAGCAGAUUUGAUGCUACUGCCAAUGUACCUGAAUAAGAAGACAACUCUUUCUGGAAAAAGGGAAAACUUGAAGGGCUAUUGAAGGCCGCUAGAAAGGAAGGCUGAGAGAGGUGGCAAAGCUGCAGAAGAAAAGUUUGAAGCUAGCAGAGAUUGGUUCAUGAGGUUUAAAGAAAGAAGCCAUCUUUAUAUCACAAAAGUUCAAGGUAAAGCAGAAAAUAUUGAUAUAGAAGCUGCAACAAGUUAUCCAGAAGAUCUAGCUAAGAUAAUUGAUGAAGGUGGCUAUAAUAAACAAUAGAUUUAGAGUGUAGACAAAACAGCUUUAUAUUGGAAGAAGAUGCCAUCUAGGACUUUCAUAGCUACAGAGAAGUUAAUGCCUGGCUUCAAAGCCUCAAAGAAUAUGCUGACUCUUGUUAUGGGCUAAUGCAGCUGUUGACUUUAAGUUAAAGCCAAUGUUCAUAUACCAUUCCUAAAAAUCCUAAGAUUUAUGCUAAAUGACUCUGCCUGUGCUCUAUAAAUGGAAGAACAAAGCCUGGAUGACUGCACGUCUGUUUACAUAAUGCUUCACUGAAGAUUUUAAGCCCACUGUUGAGACCCACUGCUCAGAAACAAAGAUUUCUUUCACAGUAUUACUGCUUAUAGACCAUUCACCUGGUCACCCAAGAGUUCUGAUAAUAUACAAGAAGAUUAACCUUACUUUUAUGCCCUACGAACACAAUAUUCAUUCUGCAGCUCAUGGUUCAAGAAGUAAUUUUGACUUUCACAUUUCAUUACUGAAAAAAAUACAUUUUGUAAGGCUGUAACUGCCAUAGAAAGUGAUUCUUCUGAUGAAUCUGAGCAAAGUAAAUAAAAAACCUGGAAAGAAUUCACCAUUCUAGAUGUCACUAGGAGCAUUUGUGAUUCAUGGGAGGAUAUCAAAAUGACAACAUUAGCAGAACUUUGGAAGAAGUUGAUUCCAACUCUCACAUAUAAAUAACUUUGUUCAAGACGUCAGUGGUGGAAGUAACUGCAGAGGUGGCUUAAAUAGGAAGAACACUAGAAUUAGAAGUGGAUUCUGAAGGCAUGGCUGAAUUGCUGCUGUCUCAUGAUAAAACUUGAAUGAAAAGGAGUUGCUUUUAUGGAUGAGCAAAGAGUGGUUGCUUGAGAGGGAAUCUACUCUUUGUGAGGAUGCUGUGAACAUUGCUGAAAUGGCAACAAAUGAUUUAAAAUAUUGCAUAAAUUUAGUUCAUCAAACAGCAUCAGGUUUGAAAGAAUUGUCUCCAAUUUUGAAGGAAGUUAUACUGUGAGCAAUAUGCUAUCAAACAGCAUCACAUGCCAAAGAGAAAUAUUUUGUGAAAGGAAGAGUCAAUCAACAUAGCAAACUUCAUUGUUAUCUUAAGUAAUUUCCAUAGCCACCAAACCUUCAGCAACCACCACCCUCACCAGUCAGCAGCCAUCAAUACUGGGGCAGAAUCUCCACUGGCAAAAAGAUUAGGACUUGCUGAAGGCUUAGAUGACCAUUAGCAUUUUUAAACAAGAAAGCAUUUUUUUAGUUAAGCUAUGUGCAUUUUUAGAUUUGAAAGACAUUUCUCAAAAGAAGACAUACAAGUGGCAAGCAGGCAUAUGAAAAGAUGCUACACAUCAUCCAUCAUCAGAUAAAUGCAAAUCAAAACUACAAGGAGAUAUCAUCUCACACCAGUUAGAAUGGCUUAUAUCCAAAACACAGGCAAUAACAAAUGCUGAUGAGGAAGUGGAGAAAAGAGGACAGUCAAUGGGAAUGUAAAUUAGCACAACUAUGGAGUACAGUUUAGAGGUUUCACAAAAAACUAAAAAUGAGCUACCAUAUGAUCCAGCAAUCCCACUGAUGAGUAUAUAUUGAAAAGAAGGUAUAUCAGUAUAUUGAAGAGAUAUCUGCACUCUUAUGUUUGUUGCAGCACUGUUUACAGCAACUAAGAUUUGGAAGCAACCUAAGUGUUCAACAGAUGAAUGGUUAAAGAAAAUGCGGUACAUACAGACAAUGGAGUACUACUCAGCCAUAAAAAAAAUGAUAUCCAGUCAUUUGCAGCAACGUGGAUGGAACUGGAGACCAUUAUGUUAAGUGAAAUAAACCAGGCACAGAAAGACAAACAUCGCAUGUUCUCCCUUAUUUGUGGGAUCCAAACAACAAAACAAUUGAACUCAUGCUCAUAGAGAGGAGAAGGAUGGUUACCAGAGGCUGGGAAAGGUAGUGGGAAGGUGGAAAGGGAGGUGGGGAUCGGUAAUGUAUAAAAAAAUACUGGAAAGAGUGAAUAAGACCUACUAUUUGAUAGUACAAUGGAUGAUUA